UCCGGAAUGGUGUAGUGGCUAGCAUUUCUGCCUCUCAACUGGCUCGUCCACAGGGUACGCAGGAGACCGGGGUUCAAUUCCCCGUUCCGGAA
rnacentral:tRNA from 1 species